UUCCGUAGGUUGAACCUGCGGAAGGAUCAUUG
rnacentral:rRNA from 1 species